AAGAAGGAAAAUCAAUUGUGAACAGCUACAUCCAUAAUGAAGUACUUCUUUUUUUUUUUUUUCCUCGUUAGCUGAGGGAUCUUCCAAAUUCAGUCGGAGAAAAAGAGCUUCAUGCAGCAGGAAGGAUUUGGAUUAGACAGUCAAGGACUUUUUCCCUGGGAAGUGGCCAGAGGAAGGUCAAAGAUUGAGGCUCAGUGAAGUUAUAUUGCUUGUUAUGGGUCACUCAGCUGGAAAGAGGUGGACCGAGAAUUCACACCCAAUGGCCUGGCACCAGAGUCUCUGCAACACAGUUUAGAUAUAAUAUGGAGAAAUGCUGGCACUAUUAUUAUCCCCAACUUAUAUAUGAGAAAACUGAGGCAUUGUUAUUCAGUAAGUUGCCCAACUUCACAUCACCAGUAAGUAGAAGAGGAGCCAGGAAUGGAAUUCAUGCUGUCUACUUCCAGAACCUGUCAGGUAAAGGGUAUUUCAGAUCUAGUGGUAGAAUAAAUGAGCUCAUGAAGGUGUGAUUGAACUGACCAGGCAGGUCCAGGGCACUAAUAAAGUUAGAAAGCCCCAUCUGACCACUUCAC